CCCUUAGAUGUCCUGGGCCGCACGCGCGCUACACUGAGUGUCUGAGAUACGAGUCUGCCUGGUCCGGCAAGGUCUAGGUAAUCGCUAAAAGACACAUCAUGCUUGGGAUAGAUUAUUGCAAAUAUUAAUCUUGAACGAGGAAUUCCUAGUAAGCGCAAGUCAACAGCUUGCGUUGAUUACGUCCCUGCCCUUUGUACACACCGCCCGUCGCUACUACUGAUUGGAUGUUUAAGCGAGGUUCUCGAACUGCUAGCGACUUAGCUUCGGUGAGGUCGCAGUGUGGGAAGUGAACCAAGCUUUGGUGUCUAGAGGAAGUAAAAGUCGUAACA
rnacentral:rRNA from 1 species